CGAGCACUUUAACUUCCAGUUGGAGUCAGCGAUAUGAUGUAGACGCACUAGGUAAACCACUUGGCAUGUCCCCUUCUGUAAUGACUGGCAGCGUUGGUUCGUGUGGCUAAUAUUCUGCCCUUUUGGCGUACCACCUUAAGCGUGAAGUAAAUCUGCAGAUAUCUUUCGUGAGGUCUUGUUUAUCGCUCUAUCUGCAGCGCUGUUCUUGCAACGUCAUUUCGCUGACUCUACAUUUAAUUCAUAGCAUUUCGGUCCCUUCUCCUGAAAACACGCUUUCCAAUGUAAAGAUACUCAACGUAGUGGUGAAAUUGAACUCCCUUUUCAACUUUGCGGAGGCAAAUGUAAUCUGCCGAUCUCUGAAAGCGCUUAGGCCUAAUUGCUUAAUGACACAAAUCCCAUCUCUCAACCACCACAUGCUAUACCUUGACUAUAAUGUCCUCUAUCGUGCUUGUAAAUAAUACAAAGUGAUGUUUUGGCUUAUUUUACCAUGUCCUCCUGAAGUACACAAGUGAGCCCUGCUGUUCUUAGCCCCUCUGCUUUUUGUAGGUCGUUAGACCCAUGAUCUGCUGAUAGGUGUUGUGGGGACAGUGUAGGAGACUGCUGUGCCUAGGCCACUUUGAGCUGGAUGUACGGAAGUGGAGUUCUGCUUAAGCAAUGGAAUCGUUUCAUGUGGGGUGAUUUGACUUGAAUAUAGUGCAGGGUCGGCAGCUGGUCCUAAAUUCCUGGUGGUCCUGAAGCCCUGACCCGGCUUGUCAGGAUUGUAUGCUGUGAAUGGCUUCCACGGCCACCCGGUCAGAUGGAUCUGUAUGUAGGAGCUGCAGUAGCACGCCGUCAGUGAAGGCUUUGAGCGAGCCCAUCUCGAAGAAAGAUCACUGACUACCACAUGACAGUAGUUAUCUCCUGACCAAAUAGGUUUUCUCAAGUUCAUUUGGUUACAUUGACCUUUGACAUUUGACUCAUGUGUUUGUGUUAUCAUGCUGCAAUGCAAAGACAUUACAACUCAAAAGCACUGUAUUAAAAUAUUGCAUUUG
ensembl:lncRNA